UACGGAGGGUGCGAGCGUUGUCCGGAAUCAUUGGGCGUAAAGGGUGCGUAGGCGGCGCGGUAAGUCGGGUGUGAAAUCUCGGAGCUUAACUCCGAAACUGCAUUCGAUACUGCCGUGCUUGAGGACUGGAGAGGAGACUGGAAUUUACGGUGUAGCGGUAAAAUGUGUAGAUAUAUGGAAGAACACCGAUAACGGCGAAGGCAGUUAACUAUUCUGUUACUGACGUUGAGGCACGAAAGCGUGGGGAGCAAAACGG
rnacentral:rRNA from 1 species